rnacentral:rRNA from 1 species
UACGAAGGGGGCUAGCGUUGCUCGGAAUCACUGGGCGUAAAGGGUGCGUAGGCGGGUCUUUAAGUCAGGGGUGAAAUCCUGGAGCUCAACUCCAGAACUGCCUUUGAUACUGAAGAUCUGGAGUUCGGGAGAGGUGAGUGGAAUUCCGAGUGUAGAGGUGAAAUUCGUAGAUAUUGGGAGGAACACCGGUGGCGAAGGCGGCUACCUGGACAGUGACUGACGCUGAGGCGCGAAAGCUAGGGGAGCGAACGGG